rnacentral:lncRNA from 1 species
AGAAGCCCCAGGAGAAAGUCCAGAGUCACCCGAGGGUGCGGCCCCAGGGAGCUUCACGCAGCCAGCUCUGCAGCCAGCACCUAAGGAGGUGCCCGCGGGAGGAGGAGGGGGCGUGUGGGAUGCUCUGGCCGGGUGGGCUGCCUGGGAAGGGGUGGCUGACCGAGUUUGUCACUGAUGGAGACAUGGAAGUGUCCGCCAUGCACAGAUGGAGACUUGGCCAUCACUCCAUAGGGGAACACUUGAGCAGCAGGGACGACGGCCCCAGGCUGUGGAGUGGCUUCCCUGCCUUGCCGCCUGCUCCCUGUGCCCUUGCGGCUCCCACUGAGUGGGUAGAGACCGCUCGCCAGCCUUGCAGUCUAGGCUGGCCUUGGCUUGGACCCUUGGGAGACCUUCCAGCUUCCACUCUGUCUUGGAAGGAACCCUGACAGCCCUCUGAGAACAAGCCCGGGCCAGACUGCUGGGGGAUGUGUUGUCAUCGGGCAGCCAACCUCCAGCCUCCAGAACAGGCCCAUCGGAGAUCAGCACAGCCUGGAUCAGGCCAGCAGCACUGCCUGGGUGGCCCCGGCUCGUGAGCAAGUGUAGAUGCUUAUUGCUUUUGUCCACCGCGUCUCCAGGCUGCUGGGUUUGCAGCAGCAGCUGACCCAUCCACCACGGCCACCACGAGAGGUCACACAGGUACCACUUGAAGCUGCGACACUUCAGCCUCUGACGCAGGGCCAGCCUCUCAGACACGUCCCCGAAGUCCACCCCUGGGUUCUGCAAGGCCAGAAGUAGGUGAGAGGAGGGUCUGAGGCAGCUGCUCCUGAUGGGAAGGACCCUGCCAGAGGCCAGCCCCGGCCUGGACAGACGGCCCCUGCUGCAGCCGGCUCGUCCACACCCACCCGGGCCCAGGAACCUCCUGCCUGAGAAGACGGCCCUGCUCACCUGGCCUUACUGCACGGCAUCAGCCUGACCUCUGGAGGGUGGAGACUGAGGUCAGCCAUAUCCAGAGACCAGCCUGGCGUCUCUUCCCUCUGCUGACUUUGACCCGUGUCCUCUGCCGUGAGAACCCACAGCCGAGUGCGGUGUCUGUGUCUUCCUGGGACUGUGGGGCCUGAGAGGCUGUAGGGACCAGCACUCUCUGACGGACAGCCAGCCCUGAGGGAGCACCUGCACCCUGCCCAGGGACCCUCCAGGCUCAGGCCUUGUGGGGAGGGCAGACGACUUGGCCUUCACGGCCUGGGCUUGAAUCCCGUCACCUUCUGGUAUGUGGGCCUGGGACAGUCCCCUAUCUUCUCUGUGCCUCAGUUACUCAUUGGUAAAGUGGGGACGAUCACGCCAGAAACUCAUUGUUGCUCUGUUAUGAGGUUUUAAUCAGCCAAGGGGCUCACACCAGGGCCCUUGGACACGGAGGUGACAGGCAUUUGCCGGCCUCACUGCCCGGGGGCCUGGAGCACCUCACUCAGUUGCCCACACACUUGGGGAGGUCAUCACCCUGCACGUUUUCCUUAUCACUUCAUGGAAAACAAGGCUGUAGGAGCACCGGGUACCCUCUUCUCGUCUCUCAGACACGAGUGCACGUGUCUACGGCUCCUGAUCUGCCUGGCGGGAGCUGAUAUGGGGGCUGGAUGCUGGAUUUGCAGUGAAUGGUCCAGCCCGGGGCCACUUCAGGCCGUGUCACCCACACGCUGGGGUGCACUCUAGCAGGGGGUGGUAAGCCAAUUUAGGGGCUGUGGUGGGAAGUUUUAAGAAGUAGUAAUAUUGUAAAUGAGAAGGGUCACUUUGGUGCUACGUACACAAAGCGCUGUAUGUGGACAGAUGUAAAUGUAUGCGUGUGUGCGCUGGGUCAUGACUUAAGAUCUGGCUCAUUAGGGUUGAUGCAGACAAGCCCGUUUCUAAGAUGAGCCCUCCCAGAACUCAGGGACCCAGUGCCUGCAGUGGCCAGGGAAGGAAGGGGGUGGUUCCAGAGACGCUGGGGUGUGGCGGGAUGGGUCGCGGCCACCCGUCUCAGUACCUGCCUUUCUUAGGGUUGUGGGGGUGGGGCGCUUUGAGAAAAGCCAGAAUUCAGGCUCUUUAUGGGAAAUUACAAAUUAGAAAACAAACAGCAAUCCUCAACUUGAAGCGGGUCAGCCACUCAUAGGCCAAAGCCCAACAGGAAACAACCAAAAACGUCCAUCCACGGACGAGUGGAUCCACACGAGGGGCCCUUUCACACUGUGGACGUGACUCAGCCAUGGUGGGGGUGACCUGGAAAAGGUGGCGCUGAGGACGGGAAGCCACACAGCGUAUGAGCCGUUCAUGAAACCGCCAGACAGUUGAGGCUGCCCGGGGCUGGGGAGGGGUCCGCACUGGCUGACAGGUGCUGUGCAGGGCACUAAGUGGGGCCCUGGCUGAGGCGGCGGCACCAGGUUGGGGAGAGGCCGCCCCUCCCUGGCUUCUAACCACGGGGCAAUUGCUCUAGGCUGAGAGGAAAAACGCCCACCACACCGGGGUGGGUGUGAGCUGGUCUCUUCCCAGUGUGAGGAAGGCUCCUUCCCAGGCAGACAGCUCACCCACUCACACCUGCACACACAACUGCUUGCACCUGUGCACACCUGUCAACACACCCACUCACACCUGCAGGGGGCCCUAGGGGGCCUCCCUCCGGCCCAGCCCUGCCGUGGCAUUGACCCCGACCCUGGGGCAUGGCCCCGGCUCCCGGC